rnacentral:misc_RNA from 1 species
UCAAAUCCUUGUACCGAACGACCCGCGAACCGGUUCCGAAAGUCACGAGCGUCCCUUUUGCUCGGUGCGGGUCGGUGACAUCGUUGCCGGACGCGUCGAGCAUCGAAAACAAAAUCCGGCGCGGGAAGCGCCAAGGACUAGCGAAACGGAGGAUGGCCUUCCCGCGGCAUCCCGUCGUGCCGCGGGGACGAAAGGGUCUCCGAAUGAAAAAAAUGUUGUACCCAGUACGACUCUCGGCAACGGAUAUCUAGGCUCUCGCAUCGAUGAAGAACGUAGCAAACUGCGAUAGUUGGUGUGAAUUGCAGAAUCCCGUGAACCAUGGAGUCUUUGAACGCAAGUUGCGCCCGAAGCCGUUAGGCCGAGGGCACGUCUGCCUGGGCGUCACGCAUUGCGUCGUCCCCCCUCCGCCCGUGUCCCGAAAGGGUCGCGGGCCUUAUCGAGGGGGGCGGAAGUUGGCUUCCCGUGCAGCGCUUGCGGCUAGCCUGAAACAACGGUUCCCUCGGGGCGGACGUCGCGACAAGUGGUGGUCCGUCGAGAUCGUAGGCGAGUUGCCGGCAAGCUGCCUCGAGGAGAGCAUUCGGACCCUGUGCGAGACUAGUCCCUUCGGCGAGGGGCAG